GGGAAAUGCUGCCCCCGGUUUUAGGAAGUUUUCGUUUGUAGGCGGACGUCCACCAGAGUGAACUGGAUAUAUCUCCGGGAUCAAGGUAGUAUCCUCAUAGGAAACUAGAGCUAUUUCCCAUGGCCCCUGAUGGUGGACAAUGAGUAUCCUGAAUGGUUCUCGUUAUUGCUUGCGGUGGUGCCCACAGUGGUGCACCCAGGGCAACGGAUUCAAAAAAGCCAGUACUCCUCAGGACCCCGGGUGUCUACCAUUCGCCUUGGGUUAGGGCCAGGGCCUGCAGCACAUGGCCAGUGACUCGGACAUGACCCUCGCGGAUACGUCUGGAUACGGCUUCCAGGUAGUCAGAGAGAAAGAGAAAAAUAAGGGGAAAAAAAACGUGUUGACCGGUUGAGAGAUAGCAGGAGCGACCCGAGGCCCUUUCCUUUCGAUAAUUUUUUUGUGAACUCUCGAACGUGUUCGACAGAGCACCCUGAUCAGCGUGUAACGCGAUUUCAAAGGAACAUCAUGUUCGAUCAUUCUUGGAAUUUUUUUCGAACAAAAUACAGAGAUCGAUAGGAACAUUAUUUUCAUUUUUACCGGUCGUUUUUAACAUUUUUCCAAUCACUGGGGCCUUUCCCAACCCCAAACCCUUUCUUCAGUGCAUUAUACCGUAAUAUUAUAUAUUUAUUAUAUAUACAUAAUGUUGUUCUAUGUACAGACUAU